rnacentral:rRNA from 1 species
AGGACGAACGCUGGCGGCGUGCCUAACACAUGCAAGUCGAGCGGAAAGGCCUCCUUCGGGAGGUACUCGAGCGGCGAACGGGUGAGUAACACGUGGGCAACCAACCCCUCACAUCGGGAUACCCCGGGGAAACUCGGAUCAAUACCGGAUAAUGCGCGACGCUGUUGGGCGUCGCACCAAAGGUAGCUUCGGCCUCUGGUGAGGGACGGGCCCGCGGCCCAUUAGCUUGUUGGUGGGGUAAUGGCCUACCAAGGCAACGAUGGGUAGCUGGUCUGAGAGGAUGAUCAGCCACACUGGGACUGAGAUACGGCCCAGACUCCUACGGGAGGCAGCAGUGGGGAAUAUUGCGCAAUGGGCGGAAGCCUGACGCAGCAACGCCGCGUGCGGGAGAAGGCCUUCGGGUCGUAAACCGCUUUCAGGGGGGACGAAGCCACCAGGGUUAAUAGGCCCAUGGGGUGACGGUACUCCCGAGAAGAAGCCCCGGCUAACUACGUGCCAGCAGCCGCGGU